rnacentral:SRP_RNA from 2 species
GCCAGGCGUGGUAACGCGCGCCUGUAGUCCCAGCUACUCGGAGGCUGAGGCAGGAGAAUCGCUUGAACCCGGGGGGCAGAGGUUGCAGUGAGCCGAGAUUGCGCCACUACACUUCAGCCUGGGUGACAGAGUGAGACUCUGCCUCAA